rnacentral:tRNA from 2 species
GGGCCGCUAGCUCAACGGCAGAGCAGGAGACUUUUAAUCUCUUGGUUCCGGGUUCGAGUCCCGGGCGGCUCACCG